rnacentral:rRNA from 1 species
UACGUAGGGUGCAAGCGUUGUCCGGAAUUAUUGGGCGUAAAGAGCUUGUAGGCGGUUUGUCGCGUCUGCUGUGAAAAUCCGGGGCUCAACCCCGGACUUGCAGUGGGUACGGGCAGACUAGAGUGUGGUAGGGGAGACUGGAAUUCCUGGUGUAGCGGUGGAAUGCGCAGAUAUCAGGAGGAACACCGAUGGCGAAGGCAGGUCUCUGGGCCACUACUGACGCUGAGAAGCGAAAGCAUGGGGAGCGAACAGG